rnacentral:rRNA from 1 species
AUUGAACGCUGGCGGAAUGCUUUACACAUGCAAGUCGAACGGCAGCAUAGGUGCUUGCACCUGAUGGCGGGUGGCGAACGGGUGAGUAAUACAUCGGAACGUGCCCAGUCGUGGGGGAUAACGUAGCGAAAGUUACGCUAAUACCGCAUACGAUCUAAGGAUGAAAGCGGGGGACCGUAAGGCCUCGCGCGAUUGGAGCGGCCGAUGUCAGAUUAGGUAGUUGGUGAGGUAAAGGCUCACCAAGCCGACGAUCUGUAGCUGGUCUGAGAGGACGACCAGCCACUCUGGGACUGAGACACGGCCCAGACUCCUACGGGAGGCAGCAGUGGGGAAUUUUGGACAAUGGACGCAAGUCUGAUCCAGCCAUUCCGCGUGCAGGACGAAGGCCUUCGGGUUGUAAACUGCUUUUGUACGGAACGAAAAAGCUCUUACUAAUACUAGGAGUCCAUGACGGUACCGUAAGAAUAAGCACCGGCUAACUACGUGCCAGCCGCCGCAGUAA